rnacentral:lncRNA from 1 species
UACAAUACACGUAAUAUUUUGAAAAUUUAAAAAAAUGCACAUCGUGUUUCUCUAAGAUGUUAUGAGAGAAUGCCAGGCAUGGGCAUUGGGCAUAUGGUAAAAGCACUUCACAACGGUUUUGGAUGGUGGUCGUAAAACCAAAACGAUAAUAUACAGGAGAUCAAGUUACAUAAUAUACGAAAGAAAUAAAUCUGACUAAUGUUUAACUUUUAAUAAUGGGAGCAAGAUUUUUUGUAGUUGUGAUCUGAGUAUGUAACUCGAAAUAUGAAUACUGAGGUGCGUAUUUUUUUUUUGUAUUUUAUAUGGAACAGAGGCUUGAACGCUAAAACAAGGAUAUUCAUUAAUGAUAGAACAUUAUAAUAGAACAGAGUAUUUGAUAUGUGGGCAUAUAGAAGAUUUUUAAAAAUAACCUUGGUUCAAAAGAUUAAGAGACAACCACGUUUUGUAACCGAAUGAAAUAAAGAAAAAUGAGAUAUUAAAUACAAUUAAAAUAAGAAAUUUACAUUAUUUGGAAACAUGUUAUGAGAAAUGAGAUAUGUGUUUAUGUAGAUCGUUAUAUAGGAAAAGAUACUGGACAGAAGAAGCUUAGGACGCUGACAUAUAUCCUGGCUAAACAAAAUUGAUGUAAUGAUACAAACUGCAACUCUGUGGAGUUGCUAUAAGAGGUAGCACGUAACAAAAAAAAUAAAAAUGCCGUAUUUAAAGUGUUUACCAAUGGUGUGCUUACAACCACACUUAAUUUAUCAAAUUGUGAUAUAUAUUGGAGAGAUCUUUAAUAUCAGUUUUAUUAUUGAUACAAUUUUGGUCUUUCUUUAUGUGGAUCAUCUCCAAUAUACAUCUUUUGUUAUAAUUUUGCUCUUUUUCCAGAAUCUGUACAUUUUCAAAAUCAAAACUAUGGUUAUUUUCUACUGAAUGUUUGGCUAAGGCUGUGGUAGUUAUUUUGUUUGUUUGUACACUAUGUUUGUGUGCAACAAUCCUUCUGUGUAGAUAUUGAUGUGUUUGCCCAAUAUAUGUUGAAUUGCAGUCUUUACAAUUUACUUUAUACACAACAUCCGACUGUAACCCAAUACUCUGGGUAUUGGGAUUUGGAAGAAAAAAAGCUGAUGAAAGAGGGGGAAAAUAGAAGAGAAGAGGGUUAAGAUACUAAUGGAGAGUGGCUUAGCUCAGACGAACAAAUCAAAGAGGCAGAGAGACACUAUAUCUCAAGUGAGGACUCGGGCUAGCUUCAGUGCACUAAAUAUUGACUUUAAAAUAUACAAACAGAGAUAUGGGAUAAUGAAAGGGUAGAAACAAGGAAGAAAAUGAGACAGGUUAAUGCGAGAAGGGAACGCAACUAGAUAAGAACGCUGGAGACAGAAUAAUAUGAAGAUACGACAAGGAAAGAAGAAGAAAAAGGGCGCCAACUCGAACGAACAGCUCAGAUUUCUGAACCGAGGAUUUGAAAAGUUCGAGAUUUUUGAAAUAAAGAAAAACAGAAUAAACGACCAAUAAAUAAAUGACAGUGAUACAAUGACCUGAAAUACAAAAAAAAAUAUUCACUAUUUACCUUGUUCUGCUAUAUUAUCAACUGGUGAUACGAGACUGAAAUAAAAAUCAACCUUACUAAGAACAAAUAUAUUUAUAAUAUUUCACAACUUACAAUGUAUCCAUGAUACUUAUACAACAUGUGAGAUAAACAAUAGUGGUGGAGUUGAGAAAAAUAACAAUCUAGAACCCAAAGGGUUACGCCAAGUAAAUUACCACCGCUAUUGCGCAAUAUAAAAAUAUCAAUAACGAAAACCAGGUCAGUGUCCGUAAGCGUAGCAAAAUCCUAUACUAUGGUUAGUAUACUAAUAUUAAUUGAUCCUAGACUAGAUAAGGUAUAAUUAAUACUAGAACAACUAAUGGUUACACAAAAACAAAUUUAAUACCUUAUCUAGCAGAGACUUAAAGGGUGACGUACUCACCAAUCGAACUAUUAAGUGUCCGAAACAAUCGAAAUACCAGAUCUAUGUCUAAGUACUAUACCUAAGUAAACAUAGAUGCUGGAAGCUAUAUAAAACUAACAAAAUGAGUUUGGUUAAAGAAUUAUCCAGAAAUAUUAUUUAAAACCUAUCGACAAUCUUUAUAUAUGUCUUAAUUCCCAUUUCCCUUAUCAAUUAAUUUAUUUUAUUUGAAUAUUUAUUUAUUAUUUACCAUUACCUAACUUUAUUUAAAAUCCUACUUCAAAACCCUAUGUAUAUAGUGUAGUAUAGGUACCUGUUAUAUGCAUAUAAACAGUUUACACAAAUUUAUUACUGUAGAGUAAAAACCAAAAUAUUUAUAGGUAUGAAUUGAAAUAAAGAAAAAAAAAACUCUUAUCUUUUGCAACUCCUGGGUAUAUUCAUAGGAAGGUCCACUAGAUUUGGGAAAUCUCUGGGCACUAUAACAUCUGUGUGGAGCGGUCUGAAGUUGAGAGGUUCUGUGGAUGUAUUUGGUGAAACGGGUCGGUAAUGGUUUAUGAUGUCCUAC